UGCGAAGCUUGCCACAUGAGAUAUAGAACAAUAGUGGGUCUACGAUAAAAGGUGCCUCGGUCGUGUUUGCUCUCACUCUUCUCAGAGCUCUACACUAAAGACAUGUUCAGAAUCAUUUUGAUUGCAAUUUUUGCAACCAUCUUGGGGCUCAUGACUCUGGGAUCCCCGCUGGAUGACUGGCCUGAAGGAGUGGAUGACUACGGUUACGGUGACAACUACACUGAUCCUGACUAUCCUACUACACCAUCUCCGGGUCAAUCGUAAAAAUUAUGUAAUACGUACAGUGUAAUUAUAUUUAUUGUAAAUAAAUUAGUAAACAGUUAAAAA